GGUUGUGAGGGCGUUCCGGCUGCGACAUCUGUCACCCCUUUAAUCGCCAGGGUUGAUUUGGCUGAUCUGGCUGCCUAGCCGGGUGUCCCCUUCCUCCCUCACCGCUCCAAGUGCGUCCCUCCUGAAGCUGCGUGCUCAGUCGAAGAGGACGACCUUCCCCACUAGGGGAGGACCGGUCUUCAGUCCAGGGUAUAUGAGUAGCUGCGCUCCCCUGCUAGAACCUCCAAACAAGCUCUCAAGUAUGUAAUGAGGCCCCUACUGCCAUUUAGAAAGGUCUUGCUCUGGCUAUGCCUGCAACA
rnacentral:snRNA from 1 species